rnacentral:rRNA from 1 species
GACGAACGCUGGCGGCGUGCUUAACACAUGCAAGUCGAACGAUGAAGCCUAGCUUGCUAGGUGGACUAGUGGCGAACGGGUGAGUAAUACGUGAGUAACCUACCUUUAACUCUGGGAUAAGCCCGGGAAACUGGGUCUAAUACCGGAUACGACCAAUCUCCGCAUGGGGUGUUGGUGGAAAGCGUUAUGUAGUGGUUAUAGAUGGGCUCACGGCCUAUCAGCUUGUUGGUGAGGUAACGGCUCACCAAGGCGACGACGGGUAGCCGGCCUGAGAGGGUGACCGGCCACACUGGGACUGAGACACGGCCCAGACUCCUACGGGAGGCAGCAGUGGGGAAUAUUGCACAAUGGGCGCAAGCCUGAUGCAGCGACGCCGCGUGAGGGAUGACGGCCUUCGGGUUGUAAACCUCUGUUAGCAGGGAAGAAGAGAGAUUGACGGUACCUGCAGAGAAAGCGCCGGCUAACUACGUG